GAUAGAAAUAUUCGAAUAAGCAAUUAUGAGUGGUUUAGGAUAGAAGAAGAAUGUUUUCGUUUGAGAUUUGAUGGCAACUGCCUAGUAUUUC
rnacentral:rRNA from 1 species